rnacentral:tRNA from 1 species
GGAGGUGUAGCUCAGGGGUACAGCACACGCUUAGCAUGCACAAGGUCCUGGGUUCAAUCCCCAGUACCUCCU